AGGAGGCUGUGGAAGAGAAGCUAAGGGGAACUUGCAUUUCAGCUUCAGGAGUUGAUGUUACUGGUUUCUGUUUAAACCUUCUUCUUUGUGAUCCAGGUAUAGGCAGACCUCGGAGAUAUUGCUGGUUGAGUUCCAGACUGCGGCAAUAAAGGGAAUAUCGUAAUAAAUUAUAACAUCAAAGAUCACUGAUCACAAAUCACCAUAACAACCAUAAGAAUAAUGAAAAUGUUUGGAAUAUUUGGAGAAUUACCAGAAUGUGGCACAGAGACAGGACGUGAGCAAAUGCUGUUGGAAAAAUGGUGUCGAUAGCCUUGCUCGACGCAGGGUUGUCACAAACCUUGUUUGUAAAAAGUACAAUAUCUUCGAAGUGCAAUAAAGCGAGCACUGAACUUGACUCUCUCCUAUCAAUUAAAACUCAGCUUGGAUAUUAUCAGCUCCAGGACCAUCAGCCCCCAGAUAACUGGGUAAG